CACUAUUGGUCGAGAGGCAAAUCUUGCAAAACAUCCACCAGGAAUCUCACAAGACCAGUGGGCAAAUUUCAUUGAUUAUCGUGCACGCAAAAAAACUAAGGAGAUGUGUCUACAAAAUAGUGAAAAUCGAUCCAAAUUGACAAUCCCACACACUGGAGGAUCAAAGAGUCUGGCAAGAAAAAAACAUGAGAUGGAAAUUGAGAGUGGUCAGCCAGUGAGUAGGGGUUUAUUAUACAUCGCGACACAUAAGAAGAAAGACGGAUCUUUUGUGAAUGAAGGGCAUGAACUAUAAGCGUAAGUUUUGAC